rnacentral:rRNA from 1 species
UCGCUUUGGGAGGAGCUCGCUUACUAUCAGCUUGUUGGUAGGGUAAUGGCCUACCAAGGCUAUGACGGUUAGGGGGUGUGAGAGCAUGACCCCCAGCAUUGGCACUGAAACACUGGCCAAACACCUACGGGUGGCUGCAGUCGAGAAUCUUCCACAAUGGGGGAAACCCUGAUGGAGCGAUGCCGCGUGCGGGAUGAAGGCCUUCGGGUUGUAAACCGCUUUUGUAGGGGACGAAAUUUUUGACGGUACCCUUUCGAAUAAGAGGUUGCUAACUCUGUGCCAGCAGCAGCGGUAAUACAGAGACCUCAAGCGUUAUCCGGAUUUACUGGGCGUAAAGCGUCUGUAGGGGGUUUAUUAAGUUCCAAGUAAAAUUUCAAGGCUCAACUUUGAAUUCGCUUGGAAAACUAAUAAACUAGAGUCUAGCAGAGGUGCAUGGAACUUGUGGUGUAGGAGUGAAAUCCGUUGAUAUCACAAGGAACACCAAAGGCGAAGGCAUUGCACUGGGCUAGCACUGACCCUGAGAGACGAAAGCGUGGGGAGCAAAACGGAUUAGAUACCCGUGUAGUCCACGCCCUAAACGAUGAAUGCUAAAUGUUCGGGGAUUCGACCCCCUGGGUGUUACAGCUAACGCGUUAAGCAUUCCGCCUGGGAAGUACGGCCGCAAGGCUAAAACUCAAAGGAAUAGACGGGGAUCCGCACAAGCGGUGGAGCGUCUGGUUUAAUUCGACAGUAAGCGUGGUACCUCACCAGGGUUUGACAUCCCUUGACAGCCUUGGAAACAAGGUUUCCUUCGGGCAAGGUGACAGGUGCUGCAUGGUCGUCGUCAGUUCGUGCCGUGAGGUGUUCCGUUAAGUCGGGAAACGAACGAAACCCCUAUUGCAUGUUACAAUUUCUCAUGCAAGACUGCCCGGAUAUACUGGGAGGAAGGUGGGGAUGACGUCAGAUCUGCAUGGUCCUUAUACCCUGGGCGACACAGGCGCUACAAUGGCAGAGACAAAGGGUUGCAAAACCGCAAGGUGAAGCUAAUCCCAAAAACUUUGUCUAAGUUCGGAUUGAAGGCUGCAAUUCGCCUUCAUGAAGCUGGAAUCGCUAGUAAUCGUGAAUCAGCCACGUCACGGUGAAUAUGUUCCCGGAUCUUGUACUCACCGCCCGUCACACCAAGAGAGUUGGUAGCUCCCGAAGCGUCCCGUUUUAGCGGGGC